rnacentral:rRNA from 1 species
GACGAACGCUGGCGGCGUGCUUAACACAUGCAAGUCGAACGGAAAGGCCCUGCUUUUGUGGGGUGCUCGAGUGGCGAACGGGUGAGUAACACGUGAGUAACCUGCCCUUGACUUUGGGAUAACUUCAGGAAACUGGGGCUAAUACCGGAUAGGAGCUCCUGCUGCAUGGGGGGGGUUGGAAAGUUUCGGCGGUUGGGGAUGGACUCGCGGCUUAUCAGCUUGUUGGUGGGGUAGUGGCUUACCAAGGCUUUGACGGGUAGCCGGCCUGAGAGGGUGACCGGCCACAUUGGGACUGAGAUACGGCCCAGACUCCUACGUGAGGCAGCAGUGGGGAAUAUUGCACAAUGGGCGGAAGCCUGAUGCAGCAACGCCGCGUGCGGGAUGACGGCCUUCGGGUUGUAAACCGCUUUCGCCUGUGACGAAGCGUGAGUGACGGUAAUGGGUAAAGAAGCACCGGCUAACUACGUG